CAACGCGACCCCAGGUCAGGCGGGGCUACCCGCUGAGUUUA
rnacentral:rRNA from 1 species